UACGUAGGGGGCUAGCGUUGUCCGGAAUCAUUGGGCGUAAAGAGCGUGUAGGCGGUCCGGUAAGUCCGCUGUGAAAGUCGGGGGCUCAACCCUCGAAUGCCGGUGGAUACUGUCGGGCUAGAGUGCGGAAGAGGCGAGUGGAAUUCCUGGUGUAGCGGUGAAAAUGCGCAGAUAUCAGGAGGAACACCUAUUGCGAAGGCAGCUCGCUGGGACGUAACUGACGCUGAGACGCGAAAGCGUGGGGAGCAAACAGG
rnacentral:rRNA from 1 species